GUAGGUGGCAAGCGUUGUCCGGAAUUAUUGGGCGUAAAGCGCGCGCAGGCGGUCUUUAAGUCUGAUGUGAAAGCCCACGGGCUCAACCGUGAGGGUCAUUGGAAACUGGAGAACUUGAGUACAGAAGAGGAAAGCGGAAUUCCACGUGUAGCGGUGAAAUGCGUAGAGAUGUGGAGGAACACCAGUGGCGAAGGCGGCUUUCUGGUCUGUAACUGACGCUGAGGCGCGAAAGCGUGGGGAGCAAACAGGAUUAGAUACCCUGGUAGUCCACGCCGUAAACGAUGAGUGCUAAGUGUUAGGGGGGUUUCCGCCCCUUAGUGCUGCAGCUAACGCAUUAAGCACUCCGCCUGGGGAGUACGGCCGCAAGGCUG
rnacentral:rRNA from 1 species